AUGCUGUGAUGUGGAUGGCUGAGCAUGGACCCUGAGGAGCUUGGCUGUGUGGAUUUCAGAGAUCUCUGGCUUAUGCCUUGUGAGGAAAAUGGACAUCUUGGAUAAGAACAUAUGUCCCCAUUGGGGCUUGGGUUUAGACAACAGAUACGAGGCAAAGACCACGGAGCAACCACUGUGACGAUUCAUAGGUUUGCGAGACAUGAGGUGUACAUUUUCUGCAAUUCAAUAGUCUCAGCAACUGACAAAAUGGGAGGUGUAUAACCUAUAGAACUUCUGGGGGUAAAUAAGACAUCAAUCAAUACAUAUAAGGUAUACAUUGGUUCGGUCUGGAAAGGUUUGGGACAAUUCGAAGUUGGGAGCUUCCAGGUCAUUCUAAAUACCAGUCAUGCUGUAA
rnacentral:lncRNA from 10 species